UACGAAGGGGGCUAGCGUUGUUCGGAAUUACUGGGCGUAAAGCGCACGUAGGCGGAUCGAUCAGUCAGGGGUGAAAUCCCAGGGCUCAACCCUGGAACUGCCUUUGAUACUGUCGAUCUGGAGUAUGGAAGAGGUGAGUGGAAUUCCGAGUGUAGAGGUGAAAUUCGUAGAUAUUCGGAGGAACACCAGUGGCGAAGGCGGCUCACUGGUCCAUUACUGACGCUGAGGCACGAAAGCGUGGGUAGCAAACAGG
rnacentral:rRNA from 1 species